UGGGGAAUAUUGCGCAAUGGGGGGAACCCUGACGCAGCCAUGCCGCGUGAAUGAAGAAGGCCUUAGGGUUGUAAAGUUCUUUCGGUAUUGAGGAAGGUUGAUGUGUUAAUAGCACAUCAAAUUGACGUUAAAUACAGAAGAAGCACCGGCUAACUCCGUGCCAGCAGCCGCGGUAAUACGGAGGGUGCGAGCGUUAAUCGGAAUAACUGGGCGUAAAGGGCACGCAGGCGGUUAUUUAAGUGAGGUGUGAAAGCCCCGGGCUUAACCUGGGAAUUGCAUUUCAGACUGGGUAACUAGAGUACUUUAGGGAGGGGUAGAAUUCCACGUGUAGCGGUGAAAUGCGUAGAGAUGUGGAGGAAUACCGAAGGCGAAGGCAGCCCCUUGGGAAUGUACUGACGCUCAUGUGCGAAAGCGUGGGGAGCAAACAGGAUUAGAUACCCUGGUAGUCUACGCUGUAAACGCUGUCGAUUUGGGGGUUGGGGUUUAACUCUGGCGCCCGUAGCUAACGUGAUAAAUCGACCGCCUGGGGAGUACGGCCGCAAGGUUA
rnacentral:rRNA from 1 species